GCAAUAGCUGAUUGCAUUUAAUUUAAUGUAGNUACUACUUGGUAGUUUAAAUUUCUAGGUAGAAUUAUGAUGAUGACAUUAUCUAUCUAUUAGUCUUGACCAAAUUACGUGCCAGCAGUCGCGGUAAUACGUAGAAGACAAGUGUUAUUCAUCUUUAUUAGGUUUAAAGAGUACCAAGACGGUUAAUAAAGCCCAAAAUAAAUGAAUACGGGGGACACAUUAACUAGAGUUAUAUGAAAGGAAGCUAUAAGGUACUGUUGAGUGUAGAGAUGAAAUUUUAUGAUACCAGAUGAUUGGCACAGAUUUAUGCGAAGGCAUCUUCUUAUGUAAUAACUGACGUUGUAGGACGAAGGCUUAGGAAGUGAACAGGAUUAGGUACCCCAGUAAUCUAGGCAGAAAAUGAUGAAUGUCAUAGGUUCAAAAAUAGAAUACAUCCGGGUUGUUUUUCGGGAGGUGUAUUAUAGUUUAAAGGUGCAGAUGUAAGUACUUAUAAUAUAAUUCAAUUCCGUUACAUCAUGUAUUAUUCUGGGUCUAUAAAUGAAAGUGUAAGCAUUCCACCUCAAGAGUAAUUUGGCAACAUUGGAACUGAAAUCAUUAGACCGUUUCUGAAACCAGUAGUGAAGUAUGUUGUUUAAUUAGAUGAUACACAAAAACCUUACCACAAUUUGAAUAUAUAUAAAAUAUAUUUACNAGCGCUGCACGGCUGUCUACAGUUAAUGUCGUGAGACUAUGGUUAGCUCCAUUAAAUUGACGAAAACCCAAAUUAUAUUUAU
rnacentral:rRNA from 2 species